rnacentral:rRNA from 1 species
CAUAAUCAUUAGUUUUUUAAUUGAAAACUUGUAUGAAUGGUUUGACAAGGGAAAAACUGUCUCUGUUUGAUUAAUUGAAUUUAACUUUUAAGUGAAAAGGCUUAAAUUAUUUAAGGGGACGAUAAGACCCUAUAAAGCUUAUAUAUGUGAAAAGUUUCUGUUGAUAUAAAUAAUAACGAAUUCUUUAACAUUUAUUUUGUUGGGGCGACAUGAAUAAAAUUAUAGUAACUGUUCAUAUAAAAAUCAUUUAUAGAUGAAAAUUUGUUGAUCCUUUCUAAAGAUUUAAGAUCAAGUUACUUUAGGGAUAACAGCGUUAUUUUUCCUGAGAGCUCUUAUUGAAGGAAAAGAUUGCGACCUCGAUGUUGAAUUAAAGAAUCUGAAUAGUGCAGCCGCUAAAAAAG